UAGGGAAUCUUCGGCAAUGGGGGGAACCCUGACCGAGCAACGCCGCGUGAGUGAAGAAGGUUUUCGGAUCGUAAAGCUCUGUUGUAAGAGAAGAACGGGUGUGAGAGUGGAAAGUUCACACUGUGACGGUAUCUUACCAGAAAGGGACGGCUAACUACGUGCCAGCAGCCGCGGUAAUACGUAGGUCCCGAGCGUUGUCCGGAUUUAUUGGGCGUAAAGCGAGCGCAGGCGGCUAGAUAAGUCUGAAGUUAAAGGCUGUGGCUUAACCAUAGUAUGCUUUGGAAACUGUUUAACUUGAGUGCAGAAGGGGAGAGUGGAAUUCCAUGUGUAGCGGUGAAAUGCGUAGAUAUAUGGAGGAACACCGGUGGCGAAAGCGGCUCUCUGGUCUGUAACUGACGCUGAGGCUCGAAAGCGUGGGGAGCAAACA
rnacentral:rRNA from 1 species